UACGGGGGGGGCAAGCGUUGUUCGGAAUUACUGGGCGUAAAGGGCUCGUAGGUGGCCAACUAAGUCAGACGUGAAAUCCCUCAGCUUAACUGGGGAACUGCGUCUGAUACUGGAUGGCUUGAGUUUGGGAGAGGGAUGCGGAAUUCCAGGUGUAGCGGUGAAAUGCGUAGAGAUGUGGAGGAACACCGAUGGCGAAGGCAGCCCCCUGGGCUGAGAUUGACGCUCAGGCACGAAAGCGUGGGGAGCAAACAGG
rnacentral:rRNA from 1 species